rnacentral:rRNA from 1 species
CCUACGGGAGGCAGCAGUGGGGAAUAUUGCGCAAUGGCCGAAAGGCUGACGCAGCGACGCCGCGUGUGGGAUGACGGCCUUCGGGUUGUAAACCUCUUUCAGCUCCGACGAAGCGAAAGUGACGGUAGGAGCAGAAGAGGCACCGGCCAACUACGUGCCAGCAGCCGCGGUAAU